CUGGGGAGGGCCCAUGGCUCAGUGGCUGAGUACCUGUUUUGUAUUCAGGAAAUCCUAGGUUCGAAUCCUGGCAUCUCUAGG
rnacentral:tRNA from 1 species